ACGUUGGAUACUGGAGCGGGGAAGGAUUUCGUGCCAACGGCACUCGUACACGAGUUGUUCGGAUACUGAGCACAACGUUACACCGUUUUGUUAGGAAAGUGAAGGUGCGUCGGCGGCGUGCGUUUUUUUUUUGUUUUGUUUUUUUUUUUUAAAAAAAAAAAAAAAAAAGGCGCCCCCCCCUGGGCCUUUUUGAAAAGGGGAAA
rnacentral:rRNA from 1 species